UACGUAGGGUGCGAGCGUUAAUCGGAAUUACUGGGCGUAAAGCGUGCGCAGGCGGUUUUGUAAGACAGGUGUGAAAUCCCCGGGCUUAACCUGGGAACUGCGCUUGUGACUGCAAGACUCGAGUACGGCAGAGGGGGGUAGAAUUCCACGUGUAGCAGUGAAAUGCGUAGAGAUGUGGAGGAAUACCGAUGGCGAAGGCAGCCCC
rnacentral:rRNA from 1 species